rfam:Rhizobium lusitanum strain P1-7 genome assembly, contig: Ga0061101_126
UGUCAAGAGUCGUAACCGUCGAUUUGGCGGGCGGAUCUCUUUUGCCUCAAUUAAGGUGAGAGAAAAA